rnacentral:misc_RNA from 1 species
AACCAUAGAAACCUGCGGAGUACCUGCGGAAGGAUCAUUAUCGAGUUGCAAAACUCCAACCCUUUGUGAACAUACCUCAGUCGUUGCUUCGGCGGUGGACGGCCUGUUUUUCGGAACGGCCGGAAGCCGCCGGAGGUUCCAAACUCGUAUUUUUUAGUGUAUCUCUGAGCCUGAAAACAAAUAAUCAAAACUUUUAGCAACGGAUCU